rnacentral:rRNA from 1 species
AGUCUUAAGAGGGCGAAAGUUGCAUGCAGUAGACCCGAAACCGGGUGAUCUAGCCAUGACCAGGUUGAAGUUGGGGUAAAACCCGAUGGAGGACCGAACCGACCCCCGUUGAAACGUUGGCGGAUGAGUUGUGGCUAGGGGUGAAAUUCCAAUCGAACCCGGAGAUAGCUGGUUCUCCCCGAAAUAGCUUUAGGGCUAGCGUCGAGGUAGAGAGUUGCGUGAAGGUAGAGCACUGAAUAUGUGAUGGCCCCAUCUCGGGGUACUGAGCAUAAUCAAACUGCGAAUGUCACGGAAACAUACUCGGCAGUCAGACAGCGGGUGAUAAGGUCCGUUGUCAAGAGGGAAACAGCCCAGACCAUCAGCUAAGGUCCCAAAAUGUAUGCUAAGUGGAAAAGGAUGUGGAGAUGUACAGACAACUAGGAGGUUGGCUCAGAAGCAGCCAUCCUUUAAAGAGUGCGUAACAGCUCACUAGUCGAAUGACUCUGCGCCGAUAAUUUACCGGGGCUAAGUAUAUUACCGAAGCUAUGGAUUUACGCGUAAGCGUGAGUGGUAGGGGAGCGUUCUAUGUGCGGAGAAGCGGUACCGUAAGGAGCCGUGGAGCGCAUAGAAGAGAGAAUGCCGGUGUGAGUAGCGAAACGUGGGUGAGAAUCCCACGCACCGAAAACCCAAGGUUUCCAGAGGAAGGUUCGUCCGCUCUGGGUAAGUCGGGACCUAAGGCGAGGCCGAAAGGCGUAGUCGAUGGACAACAGGUAGAGAUUCCUGUACCCGUAUAUAUGUGAAGGAAUGACGGAGAGAGGAAGCUGCAGCCAGCGGCUGGAAGAGCUGGUGCAAGCGAGAUAUCGGGAUGGCAGGCAAAUCCACCAUCCGAAACGAGAAGGCGUGAAGCGUACGGAAAGCUACGGCGAGUACGGAAGGCAGUGGAGGAACUUCCAAGAAAAGUUUCUAACGUUAAGUAUAUAUGGCCCGUACCGAAAAUGGACACACAUGGGUGAGGAGAGAAUCCUAAGGUGAGCGAGAGAACUAUAGCUAAGGAACUCUGCAAAAUGACUCCGUAACUUAGGGAGAAGGAGUGCUCAUAGAGAUAUGAGCCGCAGUGAAACGGCCCAAGCGACUGUUUACCAAAAACACAGCUCUCUGCUAAGCCGCAAGGCGAAGUAUAGGGGGUGACGCCUGCCCGGUGCUGGAAGGUUAAGGGGAGGGGUUAACGCAAGUGAAGCCCUGAACUGAAGCCCCAGUAAACGGCGGCCGUAACUAUAACGGUCCUAAGGUAGCGAAAUUCCUUGUCAGGUAAGUUCUGACCCGCACGAAAGGCGUAA